GCGAAUCCCAAAAAGCGCGUCGUAGUCCGGAUCGGAGUCUGCAACUCGACUCCGUGAAGUCGGAAUCGCUAGUAAUCGCAAAUCAGAAUGUUGCGGUGAAUACGUUCCCGGGCCUUGUACACACCGCCCGUCACACCAUGGGAGUGGGUUGCACCAGAAGUAGAUAGCUUAACCUUCGGGAGGGCGUUUACCACGGUGUGAUUCAUGACUGGGGUGAAGUCGUAACAAGGUAACCCUAGGGGAACCUGGGGUUGGAUCACCUCCUUACCUUAA
rnacentral:rRNA from 1 species